ACGCCGUAAACGAUGAGUACUAAGUGUCGGGAUUACUCGGUACUGAAGUUAACACAUUAAGUACUCCGCCUGAGUAGUACGUACGCAAGUAUGAAACUUAAAGGAAUUGACGGGACUCCGCACAAGCGGUGGAUCAUGUUGUUUAAUUCGAAGAUACACGAAAAACCUUACCAGGUCUUGACAUACUCUGCAAAGCUAUAGCAAUAUAGUGGAGGUUAUCAGGGAUACAGGUGGUGCAUGGUUGUCGUCAGCUCGUGUCGUGAGAUGUUAGGUUAAGUCCUAAAACGAGCGCAACCCUUGUCAUUAGUUGCCAGCAUGUCAUGAUGGGCACUUUAAUGAGACUGCCAAUGAAAAAUUGGAGGAAGGUGAGGAUCACGUCAAAUCAUCAUGCCCCUUAUGAUCUGGGCUACAAACGUGAUACAAUGGCUGUUACAAAGAGUAGCUGAAACGCAAGUUUAUAGCCAAUCUCAUAAAAGCAGUCUCAGUUCGGAGUUGAAGUCUGCAACUCGACUUCAUGAAGUUGGAAUCGCUAGUAAUCGCGAAUCAAGCAAUUUCCGGGCCGUAAUUU
rnacentral:rRNA from 1 species